UAAUAUUUUUCAAGAAGGUGA
ensembl:piRNA 21ur-4624 ncRNA